rnacentral:rRNA from 1 species
GACGAACGCUGGCGGCGUGCUUAACACAUGCAAGUCGAACGGAAAGGCCCUGCUUUUGUGGGGUGCUCGAGUGGCGAACGGGUGAGUAACACGUGAGUAACCUGCCCUUGACUUUGGGAUAACUUCAGGAAACUGGGGCUAAUACCGGAUAGGAGCUCCUGCUGCAUGGUGGGGGUUGGAAAGUUUCGGCGGUUGGGGAUGGACUCGCGGCUUAUCAGCUUGUUGGGGGGGUAGUGGAUGACCAAGGCUUUGACGGGUAGCCGGCCUGAGAGGGUGACCGGCCACAUUGGGACUGAGAUACGGCCCAGACUCCUACGGGAGGCAGCAGUGGGGAAUAUUGCACAAUGGGCGGAAGCCUGAUGCAGCAACGCCGCGUGCGGGAUGACGGCCUUCGGGUUGUAAACCGCUUUCGCCUGUGACGAAGCGUGAGUGACGGUAAUGGGUAAAGAAGCACCGGCUAACUACGUG